GAUACCUAGAAUGAUGAACUAGCAUGGUAGUUGGAUUUGGUUUGCACGAAAUGAAAGUAGAAAAAGAAGGCCUAGCUGCUACAGAAUAGCUUGACUAACAAUUUGCAAGCCAGAAAUCCUUGUGAAAGUUAAUCGAGGCAAGUCUCCAUAGAAGAAGGAGAAGGUAAAGCGCAAGAGCUCGGUGUCAUGUUUAUCAAAACAAGCGCAAAAGCUGGCUUCAAUAUAAAGGCUCUCUUGCGAAAGAUUACGGCUGCCUUGCCCGGGAUGGAAACCUUUCUCCUCCAUGUUGCUUAGAUUUAUGAGGUUUAAGAAUGAAGGAAGAAUCUUUUAUUUUGUUCUUUUGAAAAUUUAUUAUGUCAAUAUAAGUAGAAUCUUUUUGAGUUUAUGAGGUUAUCUGUUUAAAUAAAAAUCUUCUCUUCCUAUUUCAUUUUGUUCUUUUGAAAAUUUAUUAUGUCAAUAUAAGUAGAAUCUUUUUUGA